rnacentral:rRNA from 1 species
AACUACUGGAAACGGUAGCUAAUACCGCAUAACGUCGCAAGACCAAAGAGGGGGACCUUCGGGCCUCUUGCCAUCGGAUGUGCCCAGAUGGGAUUAGCUUGUUGGUGGGGUAACGGCUCACCAAGGCGACGAUCCCUAGCUGGUCUGAGAGGAUGACCAGCCACACUGGAACUGAGACACGGUCCAGACUCCUACGGGAGGCAGCAGUGGGGAAUAUUGCAC